rnacentral:rRNA from 1 species
GACGAACGCUGGCGGCGUGCUUAACACAUGCAAGUCGAACGGAAAGGCCCUGCUUGCAGGGUGCUCGAGUGGCGAACGGGUGAGUAACACGUGGGUGAUCUGCCCCUUACUUUGGGAUAAGCCUGGGAAACUGGGUCUAAUACUGGAUAGGACCAUGCUGUAGGUGGUGUGGUGGAAAGAUUAGUUUCGGUAAGGGAUGAGCUCGCGGCCUAUCAGCUUGUUGGUGGGGUAAUGGCCUACCAAGGCGUCGACGGGUAGCCGGCCUGAGAGGGUGGAAGGCAACAUUGGGACUGGGAUACGGCCCAGACUCCUACGGGAGGAAGCAGUGGGGCAUAUUGCAAAAUGGGCGCAAGCCUGAUGCAGCGACGCCGCGUGGGGGAUGACGGCCUCCGGGUUGUAAACUCCUUUCAGCCAUGACGAAGCCCUUGUGGUGACGGUAGUGGUAGAAGAAGCACGGGCUAAGUCCGUG